rnacentral:rRNA from 1 species
UACGGGGGGGGCAAGCGUUGUUCGGAAUUACUGGGCGUAAAGGGCUCGUAGGUGGCCAACUAAGUCGGACGUGAAAUCCCUCGGCUUAACCGGGGAACUGCGUCUGAUACUGGAUGGCUUGAGUUCGGGAGAGGGAUGCGGAAUUCCAGGUGUAGCGGUGAAGUGCGUAGAUAUCUGGAGGAACACCGGUGGCGAAGGCGGCAUCCUGGACCGACACUGACGCUGAGGAGCGAAAGCCAGGGGAGCAAACGGG